GGCAGUGUGGCCUAUUGGAAAUAGCACAGGUUUGGGAGUCAGAGGACCUGGGUUCUAAUCCCAUCUCUGCCA
rnacentral:tRNA from 1 species